rnacentral:misc_RNA from 1 species
GAUGAAGAACGUAUUGAAAUGCGAUAAGUAAUGUGAAUUGCAGAAUUCAGUGAAUCAUCGAAUCUUUGAACGCACAUUGCGCCCGCCAGUAUUCUGGCGGGCAUGCCUGUUCGAGCGUCAUUACAACCCUCAGGCCCCCGGGCCUGGCGUUGGGGAUCGGCGGAAGCCCCCUGCGGGCACAACGCCGUCCCCCAAAUACAGUGGCGGUCCCGCCGCAGCUUCCAUUGCGUAGUAGCUAACACCUCGCAACUGGAGAGCGGCGCGGCCACGCCGUAAAACACCCAACUUCUGAAUGUUGACCUCGAAUCAGGUAGAAAUACCCGCUGAACUUAAGCAUAUCAAUAAGCGGAGGA